UACAGAGGGUGCGAGCGUUGUUCGGAAUUAUUGGGCGUAAAGAGCGUGUAGGCGGCCAAACAGGUCCGUUGUGAAAACUGGAGGCUCAACCUCCAGACGUCGACGGAAACCGUGUGGCUAGAGUCCGGAAGAGGAGAGUGGAAUUCCUGGUGUAGCGGUGAAAUGCGCAGAUAUCAGGAAGAACACCAAUGGCGAAGGCAGCUCUCUGGGACGGUACUGACGCUGAGACGCGAAAGCGUGGGGAGCGAACAGG
rnacentral:rRNA from 1 species